AUUUUCCUACGGGGGGCAGCAGUAGGGAAUCUUCCACAAUGGGCGAAAGCCUGAUGGAGCAACGCCGCGCGGGUGAAGAAGGUCUUCGGAUCGUAAAACCCUGUUGUUAGAGAAGAAAGUGCGUGAGAGUAACUAUUCACGUUUCGACUGUAUCUAACCAGAAAGCCACGGCUAACUACGUGCCAGCAGCCGCGGUAAUACGUAGGUGGCAAGCGUUAUCCGGAUUUAUU
rnacentral:rRNA from 1 species